rnacentral:rRNA from 1 species
UACGGAGGAUGCGAGCGUUAUCCGGAUUUAUUGGGUUUAAAGGGUGCGUAGGCGGACUGUCAAGUCAGCGGUAAAAUUGAGAGGCUCAACCUCUUCCCGCCGUUGAAACUGGUGGUCUUGAGUGGAUGAGAAGUACGCGGAAGGCGUGGUGUAGCGGUGAAAUGCAUAGAUAUCACGCAGAACUCCGAUUGCGAAGGCAGCGUACCGGCAUCCAACUGACGCUGAGGCACGAAAGCGUGGGGAUCAAACAGG